rnacentral:sRNA from 1 species
GGCUUUUAAAAGCCGAAUCGUACAGCUUAAUUAUGUGUACGUACGGGGGACUAAGCACUUGGGGUGAAUGCUUGCAGGCUGCACGGCUGCGCUAGGGAACAACCUCUUCCCGAACCCGACAACUAACCUCGGAGGCAAAAACAGGAGGGAAC